rnacentral:rRNA from 1 species
AUUGAACGCUGGCGGCAGGCUUAACACAUGCAAGUCGAGCGGGGGAAGGUAGCUUGCUGCCGGACCUAGCGGCGGACGGGUGAGUAAUGCUUAGGAAUCUGCCUAUUAGUGGGGGACAACAUCUCGAAAGGGAUGCUAAUACCGCAUACGUCCUACGGGAGAAAGCAGGGGGUCUUCGGACCUUGCGCUAAUAGAUGAGCCUAAGUCGGAUUAGCUAGUUGGUGGGGUAAAGGCCUACCAAGGCGACGAUCUGUAGCGGGUCUGAGAGGAUGAUCCGCCACACUGGGACUGAGACACGGCCCAGACUCCUACGGGAGGCAGCAGUGGGGAAUAUUGGACAAUGGGGGGAACCCUGAUCCAGCCAUGCCGCGUGUGUGAAGAAGGCCUUAUGGUUGUAAAGCACUUUAAGCGAGGAGGAGGCUACUUUAGUUAAUACCUAGAGAUAGUGGACGUUACUCGCAGAAUAAGCACCGGCUAACUCUGUGCCAGCCGCCGCCGUAAGAC